CCCGCGUGUGCGAUGAAGGCCUUCGGGUUGUAAAGCACUUUUGUCAGGGAAGAAAAGGUUUCGGAUAAUACCCGGAACUGAUGACGGUACCUGAAGAAUAAGCACCGGCUAACUACGUGCCAGCAGCCGCCGGUAAUACGUAGGGUGCAAGCGUUAAUCGGAAUUACUGGGCGUAAAGCGUGCGCAGGCGGUUCGGAAAGAAAGAUGUGAAAUCCCAGGGCUCAACCUUGGAACUGCAUUUUUAACUACCGAACUAGAGUAUGUCAGAGGGGGGUGGAAUUCCACGUGUAGCAGUGAAAUGCGUAGAUAUGUGGAGGAACACCGAUGGCGAAGGCAGCCCCCUGGGAUAAUACUGACGCUCAUGCACGAAAGCGUGGGGAGCAAAC
rnacentral:rRNA from 1 species